rnacentral:tRNA from 1 species
GCCUGGGUGGUUCAGUCGGUUAAAGCGUCUGACUUUGGCUCAGGUCAUGAUCUCACAGUUCGUGGGCUUGAGCCCCACAUCGGGCU